AUUGAACGCUGGCGGAAUGCUUUACACAUGCAAGUCGAACGGUAGAGGGGGCAACCCCUCGAGAGUGGCGAACGGGUGAGUAAUAUAUCGGAACGUGCCCAGUCGUGGGGAUAACGUAGCGAAAGUUACGCUAAUACCGCAUACGAUCUAAGGAUGAAAGCGGGGGAUCGCAAGACCUCGCGCGAUUGGAGCGGCCGAUAUCAGGUUAGGUAGUUGGUGGGGUAAAGGCUCACCAAGCCAACGAUCUGUAGCUGGUCUGAGAGGACGACCAGCCACACUGGAACUGAGACACGGUCCAGACUCCUACGGGAGGCAGCAGUGGGGAAUUUUGGACAAUGGACGCAAGUCUGAUCCAGCCAUUCCGCGUGCAGGAUGAAGGCCCUCGGGUUGUAAACUGCUUUUGUACGGAACGAAAAGGUCUCUCUUAAUACGGGGGACUCAUGACGGUACCGUAAGAAUAAGCACCGGCUAACUACGUGCCAGCCGCCGCAGUAA
rnacentral:rRNA from 1 species